UGCAAGUCGAACGAUGAAGCCCAGCUUGCUGGGUGGAUUAGUGGCGAACGGGUGAGUAACACGUGAGUAACCUGCCCUUGACUCUGGGAUAAGCGUUGGAAACGACGUCUAAUACCGGAUACGAGCUUCCACCGCAUGGUGAGUUGCUGGAAAGAAUUUUGGUCAAGGAUGGACUCGCGGCCUAUCAGCUUGUUGGUGAGGUAAUAAGGCUCACCAAGGGGACGACGGGUAGCCGGCCUGAGAGGGUGACCGGCCACACUGGGACUGAGACACGGCCCAGAUUCCUACGGGAGGCAGCAGUGGGGAAUAUUGCACAAUGGGCGAAAGCCUGAUGCAGCAACGCCGCGUGAGGGACGACGGCCUUCGGGUUGUAAACCUCUUUUAGCAGGGAAGAAGCGAAAGUGACGGUACCUGCAGAAAAAGCACCGGCUAACUACGUGCCAGCAGCCGCGGUAAUACGUAGGGUGCAAGCGUUGUCCGGAAUUAUUGGGCGUAAAGAGCUCGUAGGCGGUUUGUCGCGUCUGCUGUGAAAUCCCGAGGCUCAACCUCGGGUCUGCAGUGGGUACGGGCAGACUAGAGUGCGGUAGGGGAGAUUGGAAUUCCUGGUGUAGCGGUGGAAUGCGCAGAUAUCAGGAGGAACACCGAUGGCGAAGGCAGAUCUCUGGGCCGCUACUGACGCUGAGGAGCGAAAGGGUGGGGAGCAAACAGGCUUAGAUACCCUGGUAGUCCACCCCGUAAACGUUGGGCGCUAGAUGUGGGGACCAUUCCACGGUUUCCGUGUCGUAGCUAACGCAUUAAGCGCCCCGCCUGGGGAGUACGGCCGCAAGGCUAAAACUCAAAGGAAUUGACGGGGGCCCGCACAAGCGGCGGAGCAUGCGGAUUAAUUCGAUGCAACGCGAAGAACCUUACCAAGGCUUGACAUAUACGAGAACGGGCCAGAAAUGGUCAACUCUUUGGACACUCGUAAACAGGUGGUGCAUGGUUGUCGUCAGCUCGUGUCGUGAGAUGUUGGGUUAAGUCCCGCAACGAGCGCAACCCUCGUUCUAUGUUGCCAGCACGUAAUGGUGGGAACUCAUGGGAUACUGCCGGGGUCAACUCGGAGGAAGGUGGGGACGACGUCAAAUCAUCAUGCCCCUUAUGUCUUGGGCUUCACGCAUGCUACAAUGGCCAGUACAAAGGGCUGCAAUACCGUAAGGUGGAGCGAAUCCCAAAAAGCUGGUCCCAGUUCGGAUUGAGGUCUGCAACUCGACCUCAUGAAGUCGGAGUCGCUAGUAAUCGCAGAUCAGCAACGCUGCGGUGAAUACGUUCCCGGGCCUUGUACACACCGCCCGUCAAGUCAUGAAAGUCGGUAACACCCGAAGCCAGUGGCCUAACCGCAAGGAUGGAGCUGUCUAAGGUGGGAUCG
rnacentral:rRNA from 1 species